rnacentral:rRNA from 1 species
CCUACGGGAGGCAGCAGUGGGGAAUAUUGGGCAAUGGGCGCAAGCCUGACCCAGCAACGCCGCGUGAAGGAAGAAGGCUUUCGGGUUGUAAACUUCUUUUAUGAGGGACGAAAGAAAUGACGGUACCUCAUGAAUAAGCCACGGCUAACUACGUGCCAGCAGCCGCGGUAAUACGUAGGUGGCAAGCGUUAUCCGGAUUUACUGGGUGUAAAGGGCGUGUAGGCGGGACUGCAAGUCAGAUGUGAAAAUUAUGGGCUCAACCCAUAACCUGCAUUUGGAACUACCGGGCUGGAGUGCCGGAGAGGUAGGCGGAAUUCCUAGUGUAGCGGUGAAAUGCGUAGAUAGUAGGAGGAACACCAGUGGCGAAGGCGGCCUACUGGACGGUGACUGACGCUGAGGCUCGAAAGCGUGGGGAGCAAACAGGAUUAGAUACCCCUGUAGUC